GGGUAGAUAGCUCAGUGGUAGAGCAGAUGAUUAGCAUGCACAAGGUCCUGGGUUCGGUCCCCAGUACCUCCA
rnacentral:tRNA from 1 species